AUUGAACGCUGGCGGCAGGCUUAACACAUGCAAGUCGAACGAUGAAGUCUAGCUUGCUAGACGGAUUAGUGGCGAACGGGUGAGUAAUGCUUAGGAAUCUGCCUAUUAGUGGGGGAUAACGUAGGGAAACUUACGCUAACACCGCAUACGACCUACGGGUGAAAGGGGGCUUUUAGCUCUCGCUAAUAGAUGAGCCUAAGUCGGAUUAGCUGGUUGGUGGGGUAAAGGCCUACCAAGGCGACGAUCUGUAGCUGGUCUGAGAGGAUGAUCAGCCACACUGGGACUGAGACACGGCCCAGACUCCUACGGGAGGCAGCAGUGGGGAAUAUUGGACAAUGGGCGAAAGCCUGAUCCAGCCAUGCCGCGUGUGUGAAGAAGGCCUUUUGGUUGUAAAGCACUUUAAGUGGGGAGGAAAAGCUUAUGGUUAAUACCCAUAAGCCCUGACGUUACCCACAGAAUAAGCACCGGCUAACUCUGUGCCAGCAGCCGCGGUAAUACAGAGGGUGCAAGCGUUAAUCGGAAUUACUGGGCGUAAAGCGCGCGUAGGUGGUUAUUUAAGUCAGAUGUGAAAGCCCCGGGCUUAACCUGGGAACUGCAUCUGAUACUGGAUAACUAGAGUAGGUGAGAGGGGAGUAGAAUUCCAGGUGUAGCGGUGAAAUGCGUAGAGAUCUGGAGGAAUACCGAUGGCGAAGGCAGCUCCCUGACAUCAUACUGACACUGAGGUGCGAAAGCGUGGGUAGCAAACAGG
rnacentral:rRNA from 1 species